CUACGGGUCGCUCCAGUGAGGAAUAUUGCACAAUGGGGGGAACCCUGAUGCAGCAACGCCGCGUGGAGGAUGACGCAUUUCGGUGUGUAAACUCCUUUUAUAUGUCAAGAAAAUGACGGUAGCAUAUGAAUAAGCACCGGCUAACCCCGUGCCAGCAGCCGCGGUAAUACGGAGGGUGCAAGCGUUACUCGGAAUCACUGGGCGUAAAGGACGCGUAGGCGGGUUGGAAAGUCAGGUGUGAAAUCCUACAGCUUAACUGUAGAACUGCACUUGAAACUUCUAAUCUAGAGUAUGGGAGGGGGAGAUGGAAUUAGUGGUGUAGGGGUAAAAUCCGUAGAUAUCACUAGGAAUACCUAAAGCGAAGGCGAUCUCCUGGAACAUUACUGACGCUAAGGCGUGAAAGCGUGGGGAGCAAACAGGAUUAGAUACCCCGGUAGUC
rnacentral:rRNA from 1 species